rnacentral:lncRNA from 1 species
UUGAAACCAGGCAUCUGUCUAUGGUGCUUGGCCCCUUUUCAUAGCCAGCUUACUGACCUCAGUCAGUGGUUCAACCCUUGCUCAGUUAUAUUGAACCUUCAGCCUCCAGGGCAUUUCUUGGCUGUUACAGGAUUGAAGUUUCUCUCCUUGGACUCCUGUUGCUGUUUGAUUUUUAAUUAGCUCCCAUGAGACUUUCCUUUGGAGGGCCUUCUGGGGUGUUCCUUAAUGGGCCAUGUCCCUUACAAUAUAGAUGAUUCUCUAUCAAGAAGUGUGACUCAAAUCCUCCUUUCUCUGACUAUUGAGGUCUCCAGAUCACAACCACCUAAAAAACUUUGGAGGAAACAAAGAAGGUGUCAAAAAGUUCAGAGAUCACUGGAGCCAGAAGCCAGUCCAGACCUGAUUAUAGCAACCCAGUGGCAAAUACUCAUACCCAAGAAAUGAAAUCAAAACAUAGAUUUUCUCCAAAUAUCUGAACUUCAGCAUUGGGAAGACAAAGCAUCUAGUCUGCAGUGAAUUUUUGUGUUUACAACCCAAUAUUGACUAUCACAUAGGCAUUAGAGUACUGGACCUGAAAUCAGCAAUCUCUAGGAUCAAAAUCUCCCCCUGAAACUGUGACAGAGGCUGGCACUAGAGAAAAAGUGCCAGGCUGAAGAGUAUGUGAAAUUAAUCACCUCAACAAGACAGGGGGCCCAGGAGUGGAAUUCUGAGGAGGAGGAGACUCUGGCUUGGGGAACAGUGAGGGUCUCUCAGUCUUGAGAAGCCGAAGAGAGAAGUUGGAAAAAAGACUUUCUCCUGAGGGUUACCCAUUUUUCUGCUGGUGACUGGAAAUCUCCCCCCCCUCCCAACACUUUCCAAAUGAAGGGACUUUCUGAAGAGAAACCUGAGCAGACUUUACCUCAGCUCCUGUUGCCCAGGGGUAAGUCAACCUGACUUCUCUCAGGGUCUCAGGCUGCCAGGGCCUGAGUUCCCCCCAAACUCAAGGAGGGAGGGAAAAGGGUUUAGAUAGAGACAGGGACCCCCUUUUCCCACUUUCCUUUUCCCAUUCUUCCCUGCCCAUUAUUCCUUUUGUAUUAUCUGACUGAGUUAACAUUAAAAGUUAUCUGUUCCCCAAGCUGAGUGUAAGUGAAUGGAUCAAGGGUAGACCUUUUGGUCUUGAGUAGUGGAGAGGGGACAAGAGGGACAAGAGUGAAUUGGGGAGAGCAGCUUUAGCUAAGGAGGGAAUGCAGAAGGGGGAAAAUCUUCAAACCCCCUCUCCUCUCUCUGAGCCAACCCAUUACAUCUGCUAUCUUCCCUGAACCCCACUUUGAGUAGGGGGUUCUCCUUUCUUUCCCACUCUCCAUACCACUUUUUCUCUAGUGCCAGCCUCUGUCACAAAACUCACUAGCUAUCUGACUGGCCAAGACACAUGGCCUCCCUAACCUGUUUUCUCAUUUAUAAAAUG